CCUCCACAAAUCCAGAUCGUCUUCCUCCCCUUCCUGUGUUCUGUACCAAGCCUGGAGCUAGGGCUAAGCAAAAUCUAGGCGAGCUCUCUCUCUGUGUUGGUCCCUCGUUACACCAGAUGCGCCCUCCCCCCGUCCAAUUUAUCUCUCUCUGUCCGGCUUCCGGCGUUGACGCAUCAGUGCCCAGAAUCCAACUCAGGUGGUCCACUGGCGGCUCGCCGCGAUUGCGUCCACCUAGCGACGCGGCGCUGUAGCUUCGGGGAUAUCGAUGUUGCGGCUGAUUAGGAGCCAACCAUCCUCUUUUUACUGAUAAAGGAUCCACGGUAUGAUCACCAAUUUUGGUUCUUCUGUUAUCCAAGUUCCCAAUCCUUCGGUUCACUGAUUCGUUUGAAUGCAGUGGCAUUUGGUAAAUUGAAUAGUAUGAGCACCGAAUCAAUGUGCCACAUGCAGUUCUAAUGGAUAAUUUUACCAGUAAUUGUAGGCGAUUGGAAAAAUAGACGAGGGGAAAUAUGUUUGUACAAUCUGUAUGUCAAGCACAAGUUAGAAGGGCUACAAAAAUUAUCCUCAGUUGCAACUAUAAGACUGGAAAAUAGACAGUUGGUACUUUUAUAUGAAGAUAUCAAGGCUCCAGCAGGCCUCGGCUCAUGUUUAUAAAUGUUUCCACGUGAUAGUUAGUACUUUUAUAUGAAGAAACCAGUGCUACAACAGCCAUUUCCUCGAGCUUAGUGCUAGCAGGCAGAACACAGGUAAUGCCAGCCUGCUCAAUUUUUUUCAGUUUCGGCGUUCAGUGUUACUCAGUUUAGGGCCAUCAGUUGCUAAAAUCUAGUUUAAUCAUAUUGUUCCUAUCAUCAACGCCUCCACUCUACACUAACAUUGACACUAGUGUGUUUGUCGCAGAUGGAUCAAUUGCUUCAUUAGAUAAAAGAAACAGCACACCCUGCCAACAAUACGAUAAUUCUCGUUGUGUCAACAUAUAUUCAGGACCAUACUUUCCAGAGGUAUACUCUAAUAAUGUGGUGCUUGUAUUGCAAGUGAAGCAUGAGCUGAAUAGGUAAAUCGUAAGGGUAAAAGUUUAUCCUCAGCCGGUGCAGCAAGAUUGGAAAUAGACAAACGAGCAGUGUGAUUAUAAACAUUUUUCAUGUUUUCCAAGUAAAAAGAAAGUUUCCAUAUGACUGUCAGUACUUGCGUAUGAACAAGUUAAUACCUGGGAUUUAUGGUACAAGUCAGCAGUAUAUUAUUUGCUACGCAACUCUUGUUAUUCAUUUUGUUGAUUUUGAAUGCCCUUUUUGAUGCCCAACUGAGGAAACCCUCACUAAUUUUCAUGUUUCAGAUUUUAUCUUGCCAGAAUUCUCACUAUUAGAACCUGUACCUACAACCAGCUAUUGUUCCUGACUUCAUUUUUGUGCAGGUUUAAUGCAAUUAAGGAUUAACCCAUGUUUUCUUGUGUGUCGGCGGGUGAAGACUUUCAUGGCUGGGGUCACAACAAUCUCCUAAGUGUAGAGCUUAGAUUAGGAAGAAAUAAAUCAUGUAGUACAUGGCUUUUGAAGUUCAGAUGGACAACUUUUGUAAAGUUUGUGUCAUUUUUUGGAUCAAAUUCUUGCGAUGUUCCCACAUGUAAAUAUCUUGUCGUUUUUACAUGGAAACGGCUAAAAAAAUUGUGUCCAGCGCGAUCACAUAAUUUAGUUAUAAACCUUCAAGCAUUACAACUGAUUGAAGAAUAGAUCACAUGCAUCCUUUGCCAGAAUCAUUUAACACUGCAAUUCAGUUUGUGAGAAUUUUUGUUGCACUUUGAA